UCCCUGGUGGCCCAGUGGUUAGGACUCAGAGCUUUCAAUGCCGCAGCCCAGGUUCAAUCCCUGGUUGGGGAA
rnacentral:tRNA from 1 species